GAUUAUUUAGUGCAAAAUAUAGAUUCUUACGAAUAAGCUAAGAUAAUCUGGCAAAGACUAUUUCUUGGUGAGUCCAAAUAUGAAGAAAACAAAACUUUAAUAUUAAUGCCUGCAAAAUAAAGAUAAAGCCAAGCCAAUGAAAUACUGAACUGCUAAAAUAGCAGGGUGCAGUAAAAGGCAGCUGUAAUUUGCAGUAUGUUUCUGCCACCAACCCUAACCAUGCAGACUAUGGCUCCCAUGCAUGGCUGUCACAUGAAUUGUUUGGAUUAAAGUUUGAUGUGGUUUAAUGAAAACCACUGCAUGUGUUUGAUCUGGCAUAGUAUAAGGAAUCCACCGAUGAUGCUGUUUCAAUCUGAAACAAUGCAGACUAUGGCUUCCACAAUUUUGAAAGUUGAUGAUGAAUUUGAAUCUUAGGUCUCUGCAUGUUUGACAUAUGUAGCUUAUUGAGUUGCAGCAGUGUUGGAUUAAUAACCUAGUUCAGCAUCUCUAUGAUACAUUAAUGCUUCCACUUCUUCUACUUGCUCUUCUGUGUGGUGGCAGAUUUUCCAAGGAACCCUUUUGGUAUGAAGUAUUUGGCUGUGUAGUUCCAAAGAAAAUGCUACAUUAAUCUGCACUUAUUGUUUUGUAGAAGUCUUGACCUAAUAACCUACUUCACUAUCUCAAUG
rnacentral:lncRNA from 1 species